GGUUCCAUGGUGUAGUGGUUAUCACAUCUGCUUAACACGCAGAAGGUCGCGAGUUCGAAACUCGCUGGAGCCU
rnacentral:tRNA from 1 species